rnacentral:rRNA from 1 species
CCUACGGGAGGCAGCAGUGAGGAAUAUUGGUCAAUGGACGAGAGUCUGAACCAGCCAAGUAGCGUGAAGGAUGACUGCCCUCUGGGUUGUAAACUUCUUUUAUAAAGGAAUAAAACGAGGCACGUGUGCCUUUUUGCAUGUACUUUAUGAAUAAGGCUCGGCUAACUCCGUGUGAGCAGCCGCUGUAAUACGGAGGAUCCGAGCGUUAUCCGGAUUUAUUGGGUUUAAAGGGAGCGUAGAUGGGUUGUUAAGACAGUUGUGAAAGUUUGCGGCUAAACCGUAAAAUUACAAUUGAUACUGGCAGGCUUGAGUACAGUUGAGGUAGGCGGAAUUCGUGGUGUAGCAGUGAAAUGCUUAGAUAUCACGAAGAACCCCGAUUGCGAAGGCAGCUUACUAAGAUGUGACUGACAUUGAUGCUCGAAAGUGUAGGUAUCAAACGGGAUUAGAUACCCGGGUAGUC